AUUUAGCAGUGAUGAGCCUCCAUCAGCAGCCUGUGCAGCUCUGCUUCCUUUAAGCGCCGCUGCUACUCCCAGUCACAGCUGCAGCCCCUUAUGACUGCAGCCCAGCUUGCCUGACUUGAGCCCAGCUUUACAGGUAUUUUACAGCCAGUGGCCACGCAGCUUUUUGGUGUUAAAAUGCUGGCAAGUGGAAGCAACAAACACUGCUGAACGAAGCAGGUGCCAGAAGCAGAUGUGGCCUUGCCCCAGGAGCCUGCCUUGCCUGUGCAGCCUAUGGAGAAGAGUGGGAGACCUUCAAGCCAGGAGCCAGGAGGUCUCUGCUCCUCUGAGACACUCUGGUAGGGCCAGCAGGCCAGAACUGACACUGUGCUGAGCUCUGUGAACAGCUUUCCUGAGGCCUUCGUGUAUGAAAAUAUCCUCUGCAAGGAAUUACAUGGACUUGGCAAACAGAGGCAGCAGACCAGUCCUGGCCCUUCCAAAUGUGACAGGAUCCCCUCAGUGUUCAAAAAUAAAGAGAAGAAAGCCAGAACUAUCGAAAGGCCUCAGCUGCCAAGCAGGCAGCAAGUCCAGAACAAGAUGGAUGAAGGGGAAAAGGCAAGGAGCUCACAACAGCUCACACCGUACAACUGUGCCAUUAAACUUCAGCACCACUGAAGACUUUGGAGGCUUCAACUCAAGAGUGCCUCACCCAGACAAAAUCUGCUGUAAAGACAAAGUGUCUCAGACAGACUUGCAAAUGAAAAUGGAACUGUCUACACUGUGCUGGUCACUUGUGCCAUUUUAUUUCAUCCUGCCCUUCUGAAGAGGGCUCUUGUGCCAGCAAACAGAGCUUCAGUUUUCUUGCUGGAGCUCCUGACGCCAGUGAUCCUCCACUCCCAAGCAAAGCAAAGCUCUGGGUAAGUCAUAGGGUCCAUUUGUUUACUUUGCCUGUGGCAAGAGCUGGGUUCAUCAGGUCAGUUUCAGUAGCUGCUAAAAGGUCUUCCCAUUUUUUCUGGUGUCAUAUGGCUUUUGCCAUUUUUUUUUCCUCAAAGCAGAGAGUAACCAGGGACUGUUCAAAAUAUAAUGCAGUAAACAACAUUUUUCUGCACCAA